AUUGAACGCUGGCGGCAGGCCUAACACAUGCAAGUCGAACGGUAGCACAGAGAGCUUGCUCUCGGGUGACGAGUGGCGGACGGGUGAGUAAUGUCUGGGAAACUGCCCGAUGGAGGGGGAUAACUACUGGAAACGGUAGCUAAUACCGCAUAACGUCGCAAGACCAAAGUGGGGGACCUUCGGGCCUCACACAAUCGGAUGUGCCCAGAUGGGAUUAGCUAGUAGGUGGGGUAAUGGCUCACCUAGGCGACGAUCCCUAGCUGGUCUGAGAGGAUGACCAGCCACAUUGGAACUGAGACACGGUCCAGACUCCGACGGGAGGCAGCAGUGGGGAAUAUUGCACAAUGGGCGCAAGCCUGAUGCAGCCAUGCCGCGUGUAUGAAGAAGGCCUUCGGGUUGUAAAGUACUUUCAGCGGGGAGGAAGGCGGUGAAGUUAAUAACUUCACCGAUUGACGUUACCCGCAGAAGAAGCACCGGCUAACUCCGUGCCAGCCGCCGCGGUAA
rnacentral:rRNA from 1 species